GUAAUUACCUGGCAGGGAAGACACCAUGAUCAUAAAGGUGGUUUGCCCAGGAUGAGGCCCACCCAUUGCAUUCCAGGCGAGCUCACCCCUGCGAUUUGCCCAAAUGCUGCAAGCAAUUUAGCGCAGUUUUUAAUAAUAUCUUAAUGUCAGUUUAAUC